AGUGAACGCUGGCGGUAGGCCUAACACAUGCAAGUCGAACGGCAGCACAGUAAGAGCUUGCUCUUACGGGUGGCGAGUGGCGGACGGGUGAGGAAUACAUCGGAAUCUACUUUUUCGUGGGGGAUAACGUAGGGAAACUUACGCUAAUACCGCAUACGACCUACGGGUGAAAGCAGGGGAUCUUCGGACCUUGCGCGAUUGAAUGAGCCGAUGUCGGAUUAGCUAGUUGGCGGGGUAAAGGCCCACCAAGGCGACGAUCCGUAGCUGGUCUGAGAGGAUGAUCAGCCAACCUGGAAAUGAGAACGGGUCCAGACCCCUACGGAGGGAAGCAGUGGGAAAUUUGGGACAAGGGGCGCAAGCCUGACCCAGCCAUCCCGGGUGGGUGAAGAAGGCCUUGGGGUUGUAAAGCCCUUUUGUUGGGAAAGAAAAGCAGCAGGUUAAUACCCCGCUGUUCUGACGGUACCCAAAGAAUAAGCACCGGCUAACUUCGU
rnacentral:rRNA from 1 species